UAAGUCUUAAGUUAUACAAACUAUGAGCCUUCCAAGCUUAAAAAAAGAAAAUUAGACUUAA
rnacentral:tRNA from 1 species